GGGCUAUAGGGAAGUUACAAAAUUACUUAUACGGUACCAAGGAAGUAAGAAUCUUUACCGAUCACCAGCCCUUAACAUUUGCUGUGUCCGAUAGGAACACAAAUGCCAAAAUCAAACGGUGGAAAGCCUUUAUAGAGGAACAUAACGCUAAGGUGUUCUACAAACCGGGUAAGGAAAACUUCGUGGCCGACGCCCUGUCUAGACAAAACAUUAAUAACCUACACGAAGAGCCUCAGUCCGAUGCUGCCACGGUGCACAGCGAGCUCUCUCUGUCUUACACAGUGGAAACGACGGAUAAGCCCCUCAACUGUUUCAGAAACCAAAUAAUUCUAGAAGAAGCUAGCCAGCCUCUACGGCGAAACUUCAUAAUUUUCGGCGGAAAAACCCGCCACAUUAUUCACUUCAACGAUAAGGACUCACUAAUUAAGUCAGUAAAGGAGGUGGUCAAUUCCAAGGUCGUGAAUGCAAUCCACUGUGAUCUUCCGACUUUAGCUACCCUUCAACAUGCUCUGGUGCUGGAGUUUCCCGCAACCAAGUUCUGGCAUUGCAAAAACUUCGUGAACGAUAUCACAGAUGCAAGCGAGCAGGCUGAAAUAAUUACAGCCGAACACAAUCGCGCCCAUAGGGCAGCCCAAGAAAAUGUUAAGCAGGUCCUUCGUGACUACUAUUUCCCGAAAAUGACCAAACUUGCUAACGAGG
rnacentral:lncRNA from 1 species